rnacentral:lncRNA from 1 species
UUCUGAAACAGGAUGUAACGUUAUAAACGUCACAUCUUUGCUAUUUUAUUCUUAAAUAAUUAUUAUUCUAUUUUAUUUUGUUUAAUAUUUCAUUAGUAAUAAUCUUCUUCUAUUUGUUUUACCUGUUUUCUGCGUUAAAAACUCGUUGGCGCCCUCUUUUGUUAUCCUCUAUAUACUAUAUUAUCUCUUUUCAUCUAACAUAUAAAUCAUCAUACUGAACGUACUUCAUAUAUCCUUACUCUGUAGAUAUCUGUCUUAAUACGGAACAUGCCUGCCACCUCCUACGUUGCACUGUCAUGACAGUGGCACUUCAUCCCCGCUCGCUGACAAACUGAAAAUGUUUUUGAAAAUGAAUCAAAUAUUUCUCCCUUCCGGAGCCUUCAGCAUAAAGCCCAUCGCCAGAGAUGUACCACUACAAGGCUGACAACUGCAACCAAGAUGCAUAUCUACUACACUGCAGCGAUUAACAUCACCAAGACUGUAGCUGCAUUGACCUGAGGCCGUACAUCUAGCCCAGGUCGAGAGAAGUCAACAUCUGUACCAUUCGAUAUCAAGAAGU